rnacentral:miRNA from 1 species
AAAUUUAUUUGAUCAGCU